rnacentral:rRNA from 1 species
AUGAUUUCAGGUGCUUGCACUUGAAAGAUUUAACAUUGAGACGAGUGGCGAACUGGUGAGUAACACGUGGGUAACCUGCCCUUGAAGUAGGGGAUAACACUUGGAAACAGGUGCUAAUACCGUAUAACAACCAAAACCACCUGGUUUUGGUUUAAAAGACGGCUUCGGCUGUCACUUUAGGAUGGACCCGCGGCGUAUUAGCUUGUUGGUAAGGUAACGGCCUACCAAGGCGAUGAUACGUAGCCGACCUGAGAGGGUAAUCGGCCACAUUGGGACUGAGACACGGCCCAAACUCCUACGGGAGGCAGCAGUAGGGAAUCUUCCACAAUGGACGAAAGUCUGAUGGAGCAACGCCGCGUGAGUGAUGAAGGGUUUCGGCUCGUAAAACUCUGUUGUUGGAGAAGAACAGGUGUCAGAGUAACUGUUGACAUCUUGACGGUAUCCAACCAGAAAGCCACGGCUAACUACGUGCCAGCAGCCGCGGUAAUACGUAGGUGGCAAGCGUUGUCCGGAUUUAUUGGGCGUAAAGCGAGCGCAGGCGGUUUUUUAGGUCUGAUGUGAAAGCCUUCGGCUUAACCGGAGAAGUGCAUCGGAAACCGGGAGACUUGAGUGCAGAAGAGGACAGUGGAACUCCAUGUGUAGCGGUGAAAUGCGUAGAUAUAUGGAAGAACACCAGUGGCGAAGGCGGCUGUCUGGUCUGUAACUGACGCUGAGGCUCGAAAGCAUGGGUAGCGAACAGGAUUAGAUAC